AGGAGGCACAGAGAGGGAGGGAGCGGAGGAUCUGUUUCUGGGACGGCCAAGGCAGGGAAAUGCUGCAAUGAAGCCAUACAGUUGAGCUGGGCUGACUCCAGUUACUUUCCUCAAAGAUCACCAGAUCCUGGAUUCCCUUUGCAUGCCUCCUUCUUCCAUUUACCACUGAUUAGCCUCCAUAUCACCCCACUCCUCGACCUGGUCUCUUCCCUCCCUCUUCUUCUCUGACUAUUUCUCUUUGCAGCGGUGAGUUAGCGGAUUUCAAAACGUACCCGGUUGGACGAGGACAAGCGGGGUGGGCCAGCUUUUACUUCUCUGUUUCAUCUGCCAUUCAAUUCUUCAAAGCCUCUCCGACUGGCUGUCUCUGUUUUCUCCAUGCACUUUUUUCCUCCUCGUUUUCUUUUGACAUCACAUUCAACUUUGUUGUUUUCAGGUCUUUCCAUCUUUUCCUCUCCUUUCCUGCUGUUGUCGCUGGUUGUGGACAUUCUGUGUUGGUGUCUGUCCAUCAAUCUUUCCAUUCUGGUGGAGGACAGUGCUCAUCUAAAGAUCGGUGUUUUAACUGGCUGCAGCUGUGAAGGAUGGAGGGAGGCUGACGGCAUCAUCACCAGAGGCAUCAACCUCUGGUAAAACAUAAAUAAAUAAAUAAUUAAAUCACAGUACUACACUGUCUUUUCUAAACUAUGCAAUAUCCAGGACACAGUUUUAUACUAUUUUCAAAUAUAAGUAUUUCUUCCUUUUUUCAUUUGAUGUUUUAUACACUACAAGCCCUGUUUCACUUAACAAGAUUUAACGUCUGCACCCAAGAAUACUUCAGUCUCUGUUAUUCCCUAUUAAAUACCCAUGAUGCCACUGCAUCACUGGCUCUUUAUCUAAUUGUGCUGCUGCCCUCUAGUGGUGCUUUGUAAAAACUGAAACUCUGCAGAGUUCUGCACAAA